rnacentral:rRNA from 1 species
UAGAGUUUGAUCCUGGCUCAGAGUGAACGCUGGCGGCGUGCUUAACACAUGCAAGUCGAACGGACUUAAGGGGCUUGCUUCUUAAGUAAGUGGCGCACGGGUGAGUAAUAUAUAGCUAACCUGCCCUUUAGUGGGGGACAACAGUUGGAAACGGCUGCUAAUACCCCAUACUCCUUCUGAUCUUAAGGUCAGUUGGGAAAGAUUUAUCGCUAAAGGAUGGGGCUUUAUUGUAUCAGUUAGUUGGUGGGGUAAUGGCCUACCAAGACUAUGACGCAUACCUGGUCUGAGAGGAUGAUCAGGCACACUGGAACUGAGACACGGUCCAGACUCCUACGGGAGGCAGCAGUGGGGAAUAUUGCACAAUGGAGGAAACUUUGAUGCAGCAACGCCGCGUGGAGGAUGACGCAUUUCGGUGUGUAAACUCCUUUUAUAAGGGAAGAUAAUGACGGUACCUUAUGAAUAAGCACCGGCUAACUCCGUGCCAGCAGCCGCGGUGAUACA